rnacentral:tRNA from 4 species
GUCGGGAUAGCUCAGUUGGUAGAGCAGAGGA